rnacentral:rRNA from 1 species
GAUGAACGCUGGCGGCGUGCCUAAUACAUGCAAGUCGAGCGAACGGACGAGAAGCUUGCUUCUCUGAUGUUAGCGGCGGACGGGUGAGUAACACGUGGAUAACCUACCUAUAAGACUGGGAUAACUUCGGGAAACCGGAGCUAAUACCGGAUAAUAUUUUGAACCGCAUGGUUCAAAAGUGAAAGACGGUCUUGCUGUCACUUAUAGAUGGACCCGCGCUGCAUUAGCUAGUUGGUAAGGUAACGGCUUACCAAGGCAACGAUGCAUAGCCGACCUGAGAGGGUGAUCGGCCACACUGGAACUGAGACACGGUCCAGACUCCUACGGGAGGCAGCAGUAGGGAAUCUUCCGCAAUGGGCGAAAGCCUGACGGAGCAACGCCGCGUGAGUGAUGAAGGUCUUCGGAUCGUAAAACUCUGUUAGUAGGGAAGAACAUAUGUGUAAGUACCUGUGCACAUCUUGACGGUACCUAAUCAGAAAGCCACGGCUAACUACGUG